rnacentral:rRNA from 1 species
UACGUAGGGGGCUAGCGUUGUCCGGAAUCAUUGGGCGUAAAGCGCGUGUAGGCGGUCCGGUAAGUCCGCUGUGAAAGUCGGGGGCUCAACCCUCGAAUGCCGGUGGAUACUGUCGGGCUAGAGUGCGGAAGAGGCGAGUGGAAUUCCGAGUGUAAAGGUGAAUUCGUAGAUAUUCGGAAGAACACCAGUGGCGAAGGCGACUCGCUGGACAGACAUUGACGCUGAGGUGCGAAAGCGUGGGGAGCAAACAGG